rnacentral:rRNA from 1 species
ACGUAGGAGGCAAACGUUAUCCGGAUUUACUGGGCGUAAAGCGCGUGUAGGUGGUUCUGUAAGUAGGGCGUGAAAGCCCCUGGCUCAACCGGGAGAGGCCGUUCUAGACUGCAGAGCUAGAGGAUGGCAGGGGGAGGUGGAAUUCCGGGUGUAGCGGUGGAAUGCGCAGAUAUCCGGAGGAACACCGAUGGCGAAAGCUGCCUCCUGGACCGUUCCUGACGCUGAGACGCGAAGGUGAGGGUAUCAAACAG